GGACCAGUAGUGUAGUGGUUAACAUGUCUGCCUGUCACGCAGAAGAUCGCGGGUUCGAGUCCCGUCUGGUCCGCCA
rnacentral:tRNA from 5 species